rnacentral:rRNA from 1 species
UUCCAUUCAGAGGAACUUGCUUCGUGAUCGAUAGUCCUCGUUUUAUCUUUCUUUUCUUAUUUAGUAUGUAUACCGCCGUUAUAGGUUUAUUUUUUUAGAAUUUUAUUUACUAUUAAUUUUAUUAAAUCAUAUUUCAGGUCAAGGUGCAGCUUAUAGUUAAGUGGUAGUGAGUUACAAUAUUAUUUCAAUAAAUGGAUUUUUUUUUUGAAAUUUUUAAUGAAGGUGGAUUUGAUAGUAAUUGUUAUUAUAAAGUUUCUUUGAUUUUGGCUCUAGAACAAGUACACAUCG